UUUGUGGUUUAUUCAUCACAGCAACCUUCUUUUGCUUAAUCUACUUUCCUUUACUUCUAAAAAGUGAAAAAUCGACUCAGAAGUCAGAAUACCAAAAGGACAAAAGAAAUUAUGUUUUGCCAUUUUCGUUGUUUUCUUGUGUCUCUUGAUUUUAUUUCUGACAAUUUCAAUUUUCUGUUGAUCGGUUUUACUUGGAAAGGGAAAAAAGGCAUACAAACCAAUUGUACACCGGCAUUUUUUUUCUCCUAAAGAAGCAAAAGAAAAUGAAAAUAUUUUCAUACUGCUACGUUUUUCUUCAAGUGUAGUCUCGAUCACGAGCUAAGAUAGAAGAAGCAGACGAAUUGGUAAGCUGAAGGUGCCGUGGCGAUGGAGAUACUCACUGCGAUUAUUCCUAAAAUAAUUGACUACACAAUUAGACCAGUUGGACGCCAAGUGGGUUAU
rnacentral:sRNA from 1 species